UGAGGCAGGAGAAUUGCUUGAACCCAGGAGGUGGAGGUUGCAGUGAGCUGUGAUCAUGCCACUGUACUCCAGCCUGGGUGACAGAGCGAGACUCCGUCUCA
ensembl:miRNA